ACGGGAGGCAGCAGUGAGGAAUAUUGGUCAAUGGGCGAGAGCCUGAACCAGCCAAGUCGCGUGAAGGAUGAAGGUUCUAUGGAUUGUAAACUUCUUUUGUUCGAGGGUAAAGUGAGUCACGUGUGGCUUAUUGCAAGUAUCGAACGAAUAAGCAUCGGCUAACUCCGUGCCAGCGGCCGCGGUAAUACGGAGGAUGCGAGCGUUAUCCGGAUUUAUUGGGUUUAAAGGGUGCGUAGGCGGGAUGUUAAGUCAGCGGUUAAAUAGUGUAGCUCAACUAUACUUUGCCGUUGAAACUGGCGUUCUUGAGUGUAAACGAGGUAGGCGGAAUGUGACGUGUAGCGGUGAAAUGCUUAGAUAUGUCACAGAACCCCGAUUGCGAAGGCAGCUUACCAGGAUACAACUGACGCUGAGGCACGAAAGCGUGGGUAUCAAACAGGAUUAGAUACCCUGGUA
rnacentral:rRNA from 1 species